GCCGGGAUGCCCGAGUGGUAAAGGGGUCGGCCUGCUAAGCCGAUGGGGUUUUACCCCGCGUGGGUUCGAAUCCCACUCCCGGCGCCA
rnacentral:tRNA from 1 species